rnacentral:rRNA from 1 species
AGAGUUUGAUCAUGGCUCAGAUUGAACGCUGGCGGCAGGCCUAACACAUGCAAGUCGAACGGUAACAGGAAGCAGCUUGCUGCUUUGCUGACGAGUGGCGGACGGGUGAGUAAUGUCUGGGAAACUGCCUGAUGGAGGGGGAUAACUACUGGAAACGGUGGCUAAUACCGCAUAACGUCGCAAGACCAAAGAGGGGGACCUUCGGGCCUCUUGCCAUCAGAUGUGCCCAGAUGGGAUUAGCUUGUUGGUGAGGUAACGGCUCACCAAGGCGACGAUCCCUAGCUGGUCUGAGAGGAUGACCAGCCACACUGGAACUGAGACACGGUCCAGACUCCUACGGGAGGCAGCAGUGGGGAAUAUUGCACAAUGGGCGCAAGCCUGAUGCAGCCAUGCCGCGUGUAUGAAGAAGGCCUUCGGGUUGUAAAGUACUUUCAGCGGGGAGGAAGGUGUUGUGGUUAAUAACCGCAGCAAUUGACGUUACCCGCAGAAGAAGCACCGGCUAACUCCGUGCCAGCAGCCGCGGUAAUACGGAGGGUGCAAGCGUUAAUCGGAAUUACUGGGCGUAAAGCGCACGCAGGCGGUCUGUCAAGUCGGAUGUGAAAUCCCCGGGCUCAACCUGGGAACUGCAUUCGAAACUGGCAGGCUUGAGUCUUGUAGAGGGGGGUAGAAUUCCAGGUGUAGCGGKGAAAUGCGUAGAGAUCUGGAGGAAUACCGGUGGCGAAGGCGGCCCCCUGGACAAAGACUGACGCUCAGGUGCGAAAGCGUGGGGAGCAAACAGGAUUAGAUACCCUGGUAGUCCACGCCGUAAACGAUGUCUACUUGGAGGUUGUGCCCUUGAGGCGUGGCUUCCGGAGCUAACGCGUUAAGUAGACCGCCUGGGGAGUACGGCCGCAAGGUUAAAACUCAAAUGAAUUGACGGGGGCCCGCACAAGCGGUGGAGCAUGUGGUUUAAUUCGAUGCAACGCGAAGAACCUUACCUGGUCUUGACAUCCACAGAACUUUCCAGAGAUGGAUUGGUGCCUUCGGGAACUGUGAGACAGGUGCUGCAUGGCUGUCGUCAGCUCGUGUUGUGAAAUGUUGGGUUAAGUCCCGCAACGAGCGCAACCCUUAUCCUUUGUUGCCAGCGGUCCGGCCGGGAACUCAAAGGAGACUGCCAGUGAUAAACUGGAGGAAGGUGGGGAUGACGUCAAGUCAUCAUGGCCCUUACGACCAGGGCUACACACGUGCUACAAUGGCGCAUACAAAGAGAAGCGACCUCGCGAGAGCAAGCGGACCUCAUAAAGUGCGUCGUAGUCCGGAUUGGAGUCUGCAACUCGACUCCAUGAAGUCGGAAUCGCUAGUAAUCGUGGAUCAGAAUGCCACGGUGAAUACGUUCCCGGGCCUUGUACACACCGCCCGUCACACCAUGGGAGUGGGUUGCAAAAGAAGUAGGUAGCUUAACCUUCGGGAGGGCGCUUACCACUUUGUGAUUCAUGACUGGGGUGAAGUCGUAACAAGGUAACCGUAGGGGAACCUGCGGUUG